CUUUAAAAAUCUUGUAAACAAUGGAUCGUUGUCUGGUGAACUGGCAUUGAAUUUCUCGAUUGCUCAUCAUUUUUGAGUAAGCAUGGAUUACUCAGAUAUAGACUUGGUCAUCCAGAAGCUGAUUGAAAAGGAAAGAAAUGCAGAACUUCACAUAGCUUCUGAUGAUAGUGAAGAAAAAGACACUUCAUUUCAAGAACCUGCGAAAGGACCCUGAUCAAGAUUCACAGUACAAAUGUCCCACCAUGUUCAUAUGCAGGUCUUGUCGCAUUAUUCACCUGAAAAUACA